UACGUAGGGGGCUAGCGUUGUCCGGAAUCAUUGGGCGUAAAGAGCGCGUAGGCGGCCAGAUAAGUCCGGUGUGAAAGUCAAAGGCUCAACCUUUGAAUGCCGCUGGAAACUGUCUGGCUAGAGUCCGGGAGGGGCGAGUGGAAUUCCUGGUGUAGCGGUGAAAUGCGUAGAUAUCGGGAGGAACACCAGUGGCGAAGGCGACUACCUGGCCUGUUCUUGACGCUGAGGCGCGAAAGCUAGGGGAGCAAACGGG
rnacentral:rRNA from 1 species